CCCCCCUUGAGAUGAGAUUUCCCCUUACGCCAAGUAAGUAAGAUCCCUCAGAGACGAUGAGGUUGAUAGGUCCGAGGUGGAAGCGUGGUGACACGUGGAGCUGACGGAUACUAAUGGAUCGAUGACUUAUCUA
rnacentral:rRNA from 1 species